rnacentral:rRNA from 1 species
AAGUGGAUUAGUGGCGCACGGGUGAGUAACGCAUAGGUUAUGUGCCCCAUAGUCUGGGACAGCCACUGGAAACGGUGAUUAAUACUGGAUACUCCCUACGGGGGAAAGUUUUUCGCUAUGGGAUCAGCCUAUGUCCUAUCAGCUUGUUGGUGAGGUAAUGGCUCACCAAGGCUAUGACGGGUAUCCGGCCUGAGAGGGUGAUCGGACACACUGGAACUGAGACACGGUCCAGACUCCUACGGGAGGCAGCAGUAGGGAAUAUUGCUCAAUGGGCGAAAGCCUGAAGCAGCAACGCCGCGUGGAGGAUGAAGGUUUUAGGAUUGUAAACUCCUUUUCUAAGAGAAGAUA